UGCCAGCAGCCCCACCAGGCGUGGGGACCCGGCUGUUAACCGGGACGCGCUCGGUUCGAGUCCGAGGCUGGCAGCCA
rnacentral:tRNA from 1 species